CUGAGCUGGUUCCUGCACCCCUAGGAGAAAAGACGCAGGACCUGAUAGGGGUGUCGGAGCUGAUUAUGUCCACAGCGCUCCAGGGCGUGGUCUUCUGCCUGCUGGGUGCCCAGCCCCUGUUGGUGAUCGGCUUCUCAGGGCCCCUGCUGGUCUUUGAGGAGGCCUUCUUCUCGGUGAGGGCUCUUCCCACCCAUCUCCAGCCGCCCCUACUGUGCCCUAGACACCUCCCCACAGCAUCCCCACCCAGAGCUCAGGACCUGACUGCCCCUGCCUCCAGUUCUGUAGCAGCAACCACCUGGAGUACCUGGUGGGCCGCGUGUGGAUCGGCUUCUGGCUGGUGCUCCUGGCCCUGCUCAUGGUGGCCCUGGAGGGGAGCUUCCUGGUCCGCUUCGUCUCCCGCUUCACCCAGGAGAUCUUCGCCUUCUUGAUCUCGCUCAUCUUCAUCUAUGAGACCUUCUACAAGCUGGUGAAGAUCUUCCAGGAGCACCCCCUGCAUGGCUGCUCAGCCUCCAACAGCUCAGAGGUGGACGGCGGUGAGAACAUGACAUGGG
rnacentral:sRNA from 1 species